rnacentral:lncRNA from 1 species
UAAACAAAAGAUUCAAAACUUGAAAAUUUCAUCAAGUCGAAGUCCAGACCCAAAUUCCAAACCUUUAUUUGAGCAAAAAACCAACGACACACAUUUGUACCAGUCGUUUUGAGAUAGAAAGGAUAGUUACCUCCUCCACUACAAAACAUAUAACACAACAACAUCGAAGAAAAAAAAACCAGCAAAAAAUAGAUAAAUUAUACAAUAAAAUUCAAACAUUGUAUAGAAUCCAACACCAAUAAAAAUAGGAAAAAUUGCUUUUAGUGUAUUUAUGAUUUAUUCAAGUCCAUACUUGCCAUAAUAAACAUCUUCACUAGAAUCGAUCACAUUGUCAUUAAAUAUGGUUUAAUUUGAGAAAUCAAUCAUGACCUACUUUCAGGACUAAAAACAC